rnacentral:lncRNA from 1 species
UUUAUGUGGCCCCAGCGAUAGGCCAGCGAUUGCCAUUUCGAAUCAAAAGAGCUCUUCUGGCUGCUCUUCUAUUCCUUUGGCACCGUGCUGACCUCCAGUGGCCAGCCAUUGGAGUUGGCUGAGAACCAAAGCGCCCCGGGCACAACAAAAUGGAUUCCGCACACGAAACAGGAGCAGAAGGAGGGUCUGCCCGGGGGGGGCCUUCUAGCCUCGGGCAUUGGGGAUGUGGUGGCAGAACGGGAAGACGGAAGAUCAAGAAAUCGCGAUCAUGAGUCCGGCUCGGUUUUCAGUGCGCAUGCGAAAAUUAAGUGCAGCCAGCAACAAUCAUACAACAGCAACAGCGAAAUUACCUGUAAAACAGUUAUGGCUCUUGCUCGCAUACCCUACACACAGAAAGGGUAUAUGGGUUUUGGCAGGAUGUGUGACAGAAGGACAGAGAGCAGUAGGAAUUUUUCACAAUGAAAUUGAUGUGUUGUACACCGAGAAGAAGGAAUAAGUCUUGAAUAAAUUGUAAAUUACUUUGACAUCUUUAUAGCC